AUGUGUGUUCCAAAAAAUAGAGGGGGCAUGGGAUUCAAAGAUUUGCACUGUUUCAAUAUGGCACUGUUAGCAAAGCAGUGUUGGAGGUUACUAUGUGAACCAGAAGCACUAUGUGCUAGAGUUCUAAGGGCAAAGUAUUUCCCUGAUGGCGACCUUCUUAAUUGCAGCCUUAAGAAAGGAAGCUCAUACACGUGGCAAAGUUUGUGGAGUGGAAUUCAAACUUUAAAAAGGGAGCACAUAUGGAGAGUAGGGGAAGGCUCUCAGGUAAACAUCUGGAAUGGCCCAUUGAUCCCAAUUAGCCCAACACAGCGAGUAAUGACCCCGAGGGGUAACCGAGUAAUUACCAAAGUCUCUGAACUCACUGAUACAGAUAAUAGAACGUGGGAUGAGCAGUUGCUCAAAGAAUUGUUUUGGCCUAUUGAUGUACAAUGA
rnacentral:rRNA from 1 species